rnacentral:rRNA from 1 species
UACAGAGGGUGCGAGCGUUAAUCGGAAUUACUGGGCGUAAAGCGUGCGUAGACGGUUUUGUAAGUCGGAUGUGAAAUCCCCGGGCUCAACCUGGGAAUUGCAUUCGAGACUGCAAGGCUUGGGUGCGGAAGAGGGAAGCGGAAUUUCCGGUGUAGCGGUGAAAUGCGUAGAUAUCGGAAGGAACAUCAGUGGCGAAAGCGGCUUCCUGGUCCAGCACCGACGUUCAGGCACGAAAGCGUGGGGAGCGAAUGGG